GACGAACGCUGGCGGCGUGCCUAAUACAUGCAAGUCGAGCGAGCGGAACCAACAGAUUUACUUCGGUAAUGACGUUGGGACAGCGAGCGGCGGAUGGGUGAGUAACACGUGGGGAACCUGCCCCUAAGUCUGGGAUACCAUUUGGAAACAGGUGCUAAUACCGGCUAAGAAAGCAGAUCGCAUGAUCAGCUUUUAAAAGGCGGCGUAAGCUGUCGCUAAGGGAUGGCCCCGCGGUGCAUUAGCUAGUUGGUAAGGUAACGGCUUACCAAGGCAACGAUGCAUAGCCGAGUUGAGAGACUGAUCGGCCACAUUGGGACUGAGACACGGCCCAAACUCCUACGGGAGGCAGCAGUAGGGAAUCUUCCACAAUGGACGCAAGUCUGAUGGAGCAACGCCGCGUGAGUGAAGAAGGUUUUCGGAUCGUAAAGCUCUGUUGUUGGUGAAGAAGGAUAGAGGUAGUAACUGGCCUUUAUUUGACGGUAAUCAACCAGAAAGUCACGGCUAACUACGUG
rnacentral:rRNA from 1 species